AUCGAUCGUAUCGAACCACCGCGAGCACCGAGUGUCGCACCCGCGGCACGUAACACACUGUCGCCGCUUCGAUGAUCGAAAUAUUGCAACGGCCAGUCGGCGUAAUCGGCGAGUCGGCGAUUCUUACUCCCUCGAAAACCAUUGUUACCCUUGUCGCGUCGGUUCGCUUAGUUUCUUCUAUGCGACGUAUCAGACCUACGUGAUCGAAGAGGCGAAGCAAAAGACGGAGCGAAAAUUAUUCGACAUUUCGAAGUCGCUGGAAAUGAUAUUUCGGAAGGAUAUUCUGAGGUCGCGUCAAGCAGAGAAGUGGGAGAGGGAGCGUGAAACUACGCGAGCAACGAGGAUAUUCUGGCGAUGCAAUGAAAAAAAAAAAAAAAAGAAGAAGAAGAAAAAGAGAAAGAAAAGAGUCGAAUUGACAUUGAACAGAGUCGAUCGGUUGAUUGCCUCUGGCUGGAAUAAAUCUUCCCGCCAACAGUUUCUUCCUGUUUGUUUCCAAGGUGAAUCGAACGACGCAAGGAUCGCCGAAGCACCGUUCGUCGAGG